GUCUACGGCCAUGCCACCCUGGAUAUGCCCGAUCUCGUCUGAUCUCAGAAGUUAAGCAGGGCCGGGCCUAGUUAGUACUUGGAUGGGAGACUGCCUAGGAAGACCAGCUGCUGUAGGUA
rnacentral:rRNA from 1 species